AGAUUUCAUUGAUUCGAAUGAUCUCUUGCUCUCUCCUGCAUCCCGACUCUGUUUAUUCUUUCAAUUUCACAGCAAUUCCCUAUCGUCUNGUCUCCUCAGAUUUGAUCGCUCUAAGGAAACGAACAAGAGAUGGAGAAAUCCUGUACUCUGCUCGUUCACUUUGACAAAGGAACACCAGCAAUCGCUAAUGAGAUUAAAGAAGCACUUGAAGGCAAUGAAGUACCAGCAAAGAUAGAUGCUAUGAAGAAGGCAAUCAGUCUUUUGUUGAAUGGUGAAACACUUCCCCAACUCUUCAUCACAAUUGUUAGAUAUGUUUUGCCCUCUGA
rnacentral:misc_RNA from 1 species